UCACUUCAACCAGAGGGUAAACCCAAUUUGUAUCUUUAAAUGUACAGACGGUAGUGAUCGGGAGGCGUUUCCUGGGAAAUACGAAGAUAUACGGCUUAUACUUGUUCAGUGGAGUUAGCCCCAGGAUAUGUUCAACUGGAAGGGAUGAAAGGGAUGAGAGGUAUUUCGUAAAACUGUUCACAUGUUUUGCCUAUUUCCCUGAAAUUUCAUGCCCGUGCUUCUACAUAUAUCGGAUGUUUGCACCUGGUCCUGGUGAUCUUUCGAAGGUCGUGCGCUGAACCAUUCUGUAUGAACACGUAACAUGCAAUUCCAAUCAGGGCUGUGGAGCCGCUACUCAAAACACCCGACUCCGGCUUCGACUCCUUGAUUCCGUGUGUAUUCGACUGCGACUCCGACUCCUAGGAAUAAUAAUAAAAAUUAAUGGAUUUCAUAAGAACUACAGGGUACCUUUUAACCCCAUAUCCCUAAAGCUGCGUGUGGAAGCUGCGCGGCGUGAACUGCCGGAACUCAUCAGGAGGAGAGACGAUGAAACAGAUAGCGAUUAUAAUGCAGAUGAUGGGGACGCAUUUCAGACAUUUUUCAAUGUUUAGUAUACUGUACCUAUAUUUCGAUUAAGAGAUAAAAAUAUGUAAAUUUGA